AGAAGGAAGAGUUCACCACGGGC
rnacentral:siRNA from 1 species